AUGAACGCUAGCGACAGGCUUAACACAUGCAAGUCGAGGGGCAGCACAGGUAGCAAUACCGGGUGGCGACCGGCGCACGGGUGAGUAACGCGUAUGCAACUUGCCUAUCAGAGGGGGAUAACCCGGCGAAAGUCGGACUAAUACCGCAUGAAGCAGGGAUCCCGCAUGGGAAUAUUUGCUAAAGAUUCAUCGCUGAUAGAUAGGCAUGCGUUCCAUUAGGCAGUUGGCGGGGUAACGGCCCACCAAACCGACGAUGGAUAGGGGUUCUGAGAGGAAGGUCCCCCACAUUGGUACUGAGACACGGACCAAACUCCUACGGGAGGCAGCAGUGAGGAAUAUUGGUCAAUGGCCGAGAGGCUGAACCAGCCAAGUCGCGUGAGGGAUGAAGGUUCUAUGGAUCGUAAACCUCUUUUAUAAGGGAAUAAAGUGCGGGACGUGUCCCGUUUUGUAUGUACCUUAUGAAUAAGGAUCGGCUAACUCCGUGCCAGCAGCCGCGGUAAUACGGAGGAUCCGAGCGUUAUCCGGAUUUAUUGGGUUUAAAGGGUGCGUAGGCGGCCUUUUAAGUCAGCGGUGAAAGUCUGUGGCUCAACCAUAGAAUUGCCGUUGAAACUGGGGGGCUUGAGUAUGUUUGAGGCAGGCGGAAUGCGUGGUGUAGCGGUGAAAUGCAUAGAUAUCACGCAGAACCCCGAUUGCGAAGGCAGCCUGCCAAGCCAUUACUGACGCUGAUGCACGAAAGCGUGGGGAUCAAACAGGAUUAGAUACCCUGGUAGUCCACGCAGUAAACGAUGAUCACUAGCUGUUUGCGAUACACUGUAAGCGGCACAGCGAAAGCGUUAAGUGAUCCACCUGGGGAGUACGCCGGCAACGGUGAAACUCAAAGGAAUUGACGGGGGCCCGCACAAGCGGAGGAACAUGUGGUUUAAUUCGAUGAUACGCGAGGAACCUUACCCGGGUUUGAACGCAUUCGGACCGAGGUGGAAACACCUUUUCUAGCAAUAGCCGUUUGCGAGGUGCUGCAUGGUUGUCGUCAGCUCGUGCCGUGAGGUGUCGGCUUAAGUGCCAUAACGAGCGCAACCCUUGCCACUAGUUACUAACAGGUAAAGCUGAGGACUCUGGUGGGACUGCCAGCGUAAGCUGCGAGGAAGGCGGGGAUGACGUCAAAUCAGCACGGCCCUUACAUCCGGGGCGACACACGUGUUACAAUGGCGUGGACAAAGGGAAGCCACCUGGCGACAGGGAGCGAAUCCCCAAACCACGUCUCAGUUCGGAUCGGAGUCUGCAACCCGACUCCGUGAAGCUGGAUUCGCUAGUAAUCGCGCAUCAGCCAUGGCGCGGUGAAUACGUUCCCGGGCCUUGUACACACCGCCCGUCACACCAUGAGAGUUGGGAAUACCCGAAGCCUGUGAGCUAACUGUAAAGAGGCAGCAGUCGAAGGUAGAAUCAAUGAUUGGGGUG
rnacentral:rRNA from 1 species